rnacentral:lncRNA from 1 species
GUCAGUGCAGGCAACAGCCCCUCACCCCUUAGUGCUGGUGACCCACAUCACCAUCUCUUCUCUCCCCAGGGUGAUGUGGGGCAGGAAGGGCCAGAAGGGGCUCCUGGAGAAGCUGGCAGACGGGUAAAGGGCACUGCUGUCUCUAUGGAAAGCUGGACUGUGUCCACAGAGUGGCAGUGAGGGGAUGCAGGCAGUCAGGUCAGUGCAUUUGAGCUGCUUGAAUCACUCACGAGUCUUCAACCUCCUGUUCCCAGGGCAAGCGAGGCAAGGUGGGGCACCGGGCACCCAGGGGCUCCCGUGGACCCAAGGGCCAUCAAGGUGACGAGGGGCUGGCAGGGCCCCAGGGCCUACAAGGACUAUAUGGCAUCCCUGGGCUGAAGGGCUUCAGAGGGGACCCUGGACACAAAGGACUCAAGGGCGAGAAGGGCAGCAGAGGCCACCUGGGGCAGCACGGGGACGAUGGCUUCAAGGUGCAUGGGGGGCUCACAGCUCUUCCCCCCUUGCUCCCUAUGUCACCCUAUGUAACA